ensembl:snoRNA
AUAUGGAGAUAAUGAUGGUUACAAGCACAUAUCUGACUCUUAUUAUGUGGAGAACCUCAAUGACUGAAUCUCCUAUGG